rnacentral:lncRNA from 1 species
UAAUAAGUUAAUAUUGCGUUGGAAAAUGUAGAAAAACUUCAUUGAGAAUUUUUUUCUAUCAUUAUUAAAUGGCCCAAAGGAAAUUAUAAGUCGUCAUCAACUAAGAGUAAAAUGUAUUAUUCUACACACUACUAGAAAAUGAGGUAAUAUAGAUAGAAUUUUACCGAUGGACGAUUUCCGUUGUUAUUACCAAUAGAAUUACAACAAAUUAGAAACGUAUUAUUAUUGUUUUGUUAUUAAAAAUUAAAUACUAAGUUAACGACAAAAUUUCC